AAUGAGUUGACUCCCCACCCUCACUGGGAGCAGAGGGUACCUCAGAACAGACAGGAACAUAAGGAGCUGCUCAGUGCCCUCUCCUGCCCUGUCUCAUUUGAUUUGUGUAAAGCAGUGGCAAGGACUGAGCAUGUUGUUGGAGAGUUAUCAAAAUUAUCUGAAAGUAAUGACAGUGAAGCUUUAUCAAAUGGGGUCUCUUUAUUUUAUGAAGUUUUAAAGUUUAUAACAUCAGAAACGAAACAGUAUCCACCAACCUGCCAGUUCCUCUCAUCAUGUAUACAAAUACUGGGACAAGUAAAUCAUUUAAUAUUGUCACAUGUACAAU